rnacentral:rRNA from 1 species
GAUGAACGCUGGCGGCGUGCCUAAUACAUGCAAGUCGAGCGAACAGACGAGGAGCUUGCUCCUCUGACGUUAGCGGCGGACGGGUGAGUAACACGUGGAUAACCUACCUAUAAGACUGGGAUAACUUCGGGAAACCGGAGUUAAUACCGGAUAAUAUAUUGAACCGCAUGGUUCAAUAGUGAAAGACGGUUUUGCUGUCACUUAUAGAUGGAUCCGCGCCGCAUUAGCUAGUUGGUAAGGUAACGGCUUACCAAGGCAACGAUGCGUAGCCGACCUGAGAGGGUGAUCGGCCACACUGGAACUGAGACACGGUCCAGACUCCUACGGGAGGCAGCAGUAGGGAAUCUUCCGCAAAGGGCGAAAGCCUGACGGAGCAACGCCGCGUGAGUGAUGAAGGUCUUCGGAUCGUAAAACUCUGUUAUUAGGGAAGAACAAAUGUGUAAGUAACUAUGCACGUCUUGACGGUACCUAAUCAGAAAGCCACGGCUAACUACGUG